rnacentral:rRNA from 1 species
CCCUUAGAUGUUCUGGGCCGCACGCGCGCUACACUGAUUCAUGCAACAAGUUUUGUCCUUGGCUGAUAGGCCUGGGUAAUCUUUGUACGUGAAUCGUGAUGGGGAUAGAUGAUUGCAAUUAUUCAUCUUCAACGAGGAAUUCCUAGUAAACGCAAGUCAUCAGCUUGCAUUGAUUACGUCCCUGCCCUUUGUACACACCGCCCGUCGCACCUACCGAUUGAAUGGUCCGGUGAAAUCUUCGGAUCUGAGAGAUGUCUGAUUAAUUUCGGACGCCUUUUGGAAAAGUUGUUUAAACCUUACCAUUUAGAGGAAGGUGAAGUCGUAACA